rnacentral:tRNA from 1 species
GGGGUUGUGGCUCAGUGGUAGAGCGCUCGCCUCACACAUGUGAGACCCUGGGCUCGAUCCUCAGCACCA